rfam:TPA: Bos taurus chromosome 26, whole genome shotgun sequence.
UCCCUGGUGGCUCAGACGGUAAAGCGUCUGCCUGCAAUGCAGGAGACUCGGGUCCGAUCCCUGGGUUGGGAA